UAAUUUGUUUCCUCCAGACUCCUUCUACAUCUGUUAUUCAAGGUUCAGACUCAAUAUGCAACUAAUUUAUGAAGCCCAUUUAGACCACAAUAACCCUGAUGCAAGAUGUUCUCCACUAUGUUAAGAUGCAGCAUGAAGCCCUUACCAGAAGCUAAGAGUAUUUCGUUAGAGCAACACAAAACAGACUAAGACAACUUGUUCAUUACUGACGUAUAGAAAAGACUAAACCAGGAAGAAGUAAUAGCGUACCAACCAAAAAAAGUCCAGGACCAGACAGAUUCACAGCCGAAUUCUACCAGAGGUACAAGGAGGAGCCGGUACCAUUCCU